AGCUAGUUCCCAGAAAAACAAGAACAACAAAACCAAUUAGCAAAAAGCAUAAAUAAAGAAGAUUGAUAACAGCUCUUCUUUCUACAUAAAAACAUCAAAAUCGAAACGAUUAAAAGGAAGCUAGUUACAAAUCCAAUCACAAAUACCAACAAUUACAAAUAUGGUACCUUCUCUCUUAAAACCUUAUUUAAAAGUCAAAUUUGCUACCUAUAACUAAUAACGUUGAUGGAGUAAAAACAAGAUCCUGCUUGUUGAUAAUAAUCGGAGCGCCAUUUUUAUUAAGGAUAAAGAGAGAGGAUUCGAGUAUUUAAAGAAGGAUAAUGAUAAGGAUUGAUGAAGAGUAGACCCCAGAAGAUGCUGAAGAUGGUCUUCUAGAACUGCCUUUUAUUGAUGGAGAACAAAUAGAGCUGAUUUUUAUUUAUGGAGAACAAACAUUAGAAUUGCCUUUGUUUGAUUGAGUGUUUUUCUAGUGGAAUAUUUUGAGAUUAUUGUUGUUGAAGCUUAAUAUAUUUUUUGUUUUUUUAUUUUUGAAGACCUUUUUAAUGAUUGUUUAUCAUGAAAAUAUGUGUAAUGACUAUAAUUUCGGUGAACAUUUAUUUCGGUUAAUCAUAGAAGUUCAGUUAAGUUUGGUUGGUUAA